UGGAGCAGUGCAGAUGUUGGGCACCUUUGCAAUCGUGGCAGAGGAGCACAGCACAGACAGAUAGAAAAUUACAGCAAGAACCGCUGGAAAGAAGUGGGGCUGCCAGCUACAGGCUGCAGUGGGUGAGGCUCACCAGAAGGCUAACUGUGACAGAGAGGCAGCAGUGAUGGGAUGGAGAUUUGGAAACUGCGCACCAGACACCAGAGUUAGCAAUAAACAUUCAGAGCCAAAACAGAGGUUUCACUGGUACCAGGUUCCUGUAAAAAUGAAUGUUUAUAACCUCCUUUAAAAUUGCCUUCAAAUUCUCAGCAGUCA
rnacentral:lncRNA from 1 species